rnacentral:rRNA from 1 species
GUCCAGACUCCUACGGGAGGCAGCAGUGGGGAAUAUUGCACAAUGGGGGAAACCCUGAUGCAGCGACGCCGCGUGAGUGAAGAAGUAUUUCGGUAUGUAAAGCUCUAUCAGCAGGGAAGAAGUUGACGGUACCUGAGUAAGAAGCCCCGGCUAACUACGUGCCAGCAGCCGCGGUAAUACGUAGGGGGCAAGCGUUAUCCGGAUUUACUGGGUGUAAAGGGAGCGCAGGCGGCUUUGCAAGUCUGAUGUGAAAGGCCAGGGCUCAACCCUGGGACCGCAUUGGAAACUGUAAAGCUAGAGUGCCGGAGAGGUAAGCGGAAUUCCUAGUGUAGCGGUGAAAUGCGUAGAUAUUAGGAGGAACACCAGUGGCGAAGGCGGCUUACUGGACGGCAACUGACGCUGAGGCUCGAAAGCGUGGGGAGCAAACAGGAUUAGAUACCCCAGUA